rnacentral:rRNA from 1 species
AUUGAACGCUGGCGGCAUGCUUUACACAUGCAAGUCGAACGGUAACAGGUUAAGCUGACGAGUGGCGAACGGGUGAGUAAUGCAUCGGAACGUGCCUGGUCGUGGGGGAUAACGCAGCGAAAGCUGCGCUAAUACCGCAUACGAUCUGAGGAUGAAGGCGGGGGACCGGAAGGCCUCGCGCGAUCGGAGCGGCCGAUGUCAGAUUAGGUAGUUGGUGGGGUAAAGGCUCACCAAGCCAACGAUCUGUAGCUGGUCUGAGAGGACGACCAGCCACACUGGGACUGAGACACGGCCCAGACUCCUACGGGAGGCAGCAGUGGGGAAUUUUGGACAAUGGGCGAAAGCCUGAUCCAGCAAUGCCGCGUGCAGGAAGAAGGCCUUCGGGUUGUAAACUGCUUUUGUACGGAGCGAAAAUGUCUCCUCUAAUACAGGGGGCUCAUGACGGUACCGUAAGAAUAAGCACCGGCUAACUACGUGCCAGCCGCCGCAGUAA